rnacentral:rRNA from 1 species
UACAGAGGGUGCAAGCGUUGUUCGGAAUUAUUGGGCGUAAAGCGCGUGUAGGCGGCUUUGCAAGUCGGGUGUGAAAGCCCUCAGCUUAACUGAGGAAGUGCGCCCCGAAACUGCAGAGCUUGAGUACCGGAGAGGGUGGCGGAAUUCCCCCAAGUAGAGGUGAAAUUCGUAGAUAUGGGGAGGAACACCGGUGGCGAAGGCGGCCACCUGGACGGAUACUGACGCUGAGACGCGAAAGCGUGGGUAGCAAACAGG